rnacentral:rRNA from 1 species
AGAGUUUGAUCAUGGCUCAGAUUGAACGCUGGCGGCAGGCCUAACACAUGCAAGUCGAACGGUAACAGGAAGCAGCUUGCUGCUUUGCUGACGAGUGGCGGACGGGUGAGUAAUGUCUGGGAAACUGCCUGAUGGAGGGGGAUAACUACUGGAAACGGUGGCUAAUACCGCAUAAUGUCGCAAGACCAAAGAGGGGGACCUUCGGGCCUCUUGCCAUCAGAUGUGCCCAGAUGGGAUUAGCUUGUUGGUGAGGUAACGGCUCACCAAGGCGACGAUCCCUAGCUGGUCUGAGAGGAUGACCAGCCACACUGGAACUGAGACACGGUCCAGACUCCUACGGGAGGCAGCAGUGGGGAAUAUUGCACAAUGGGCGCAAGCCUGAUGCAGCCAUGCCGCGUGUAUGAAGAAGGCCUUCGGGUUGUAAAGUACUUUCAGCGGGGAGGAAGGUGUUGUGGUUAAUAACCGCAGCAAUUGACGUUACCCGCAGAAGAAGCACCGGCUAACUCCGUGCCAGCAGCCGCGGUAAUACGGAGGGUGCAAGCGUUAAUCGGAAUUACUGGGCGUAAAGCGCACGCAGGCGGUCUGUCAAGUCGGAUGUGAAAUCCCCGGGCUCAACCUGGGAACUGCAUUCGAAACUGGCAGGCUUGAGUCUUGUAGAGGGGGGUAGAAUUCCAGGUGUAGCGGUGAAAUGCGUAGAGAUCUGGAGGAAUACCGGUGGCGAAGGCGGCCCCCUGGACAAAGACUGACGCUCAGGUGCGAAAGCGUGGGGAGCAAACAGGAUUAGAUACCCUGGUAGUCCACGCCGUAAACGAUGUCUACUUGGAGGUUGUGCCCUUGAGGCGUGGCUUCCGGAGCUAACGCGUUAAGUAGACCGCCUGGGGAGUACGGCCGCAAGGUUAAAACUCAAAUGAAUUGACGGGGGCCCGCACAAGCGGUGGAGCAUGUGGUUUAAUUCGAUGCAACGCGAAGAACCUUACCUGGUCUUGACAUCCACGGAAGUUUUCAGAGAUGAGAAUGUGCCUUCGGGAACCGUGAGACAGGUGCUGCAUGGCUGUCGUCAGCUCGUGUUGUGAAAUGUUGGGUUAAGUCCCGCAACGAGCGCAACCCUUAUCCUUUGUUGCCAGCGGUCCGGCCGGGAACUCAAAGGAGACUGCCAGUGAUAAACUGGAGGAAGGUGGGGAUGACGUCAAGUCAUCAUGGCCCUUACGACCAGGGCUACACACGUGCUACAAUGGCGCAUACAAAGAGAAGCGACCUCGCGAGAGCAAGCGGACCUCAUAAAGUGCGUCGUAGUCCGGAUUGGAGUCUGCAACUCGACUCCAUGAAGUCGGAAUCGCUAGUAAUCGUGGAUCAGAAUGCCACGGUGAAUACGUUCCCGGGCCUUGUACACACCGCCCGUCACACCAUGGGAGUGGGUUGCAAAAGAAGUAGGUAGCUUAACCUUCGGGAGGGCGCUUACCACUUUGUGAUUCAUGACUGGGGUGAAGUCGUAACAAGGUAACCGUAGGGGAACCUGCGGUUGGAUCACCUCCUU